UACGUAGGCAGCAAGCGUUGUUCGGAGUUACUGGGCGUAAAGGGUGUGUAGGCGGUUCUUUUAAGUUUGGUGUGAAAUCUCCCGGCUCAACUGGGAGGGUGCGCCGAAAACUGGGAGGCUAGAGUACUGGAUGGGAGAGUGGAAUUCCUGGUGUAGCGGUGAAAUGCGUAGAUAUCAGGAGGAACACCGGUGGUGUAGACAGCUCUCUGGACAGUAACUGACGCUGAGACACGGAAAAGCGUGGGGGAGCAAAACAGG
rnacentral:rRNA from 1 species